GUCUACAGCCAUGCCACCCUGAACAAGCCUGAUCCUGUCUGAUCUCAGAAGCCAAGCAGGGUCGGGCCUGGUUAGUACUUGGAUGGGAGACCACCUAGGAAGACCAGAGUGCCGUAGGCG
rnacentral:rRNA from 1 species